GUAGGUGGGCAAGCGUUGUCCGGAAUUAUUGGGCGUAAAGCGCGCGCAGGGGUGGUUCUUUAAGUCUGAUGUGAAAGCCCCCGGGCUCAACCGGGGAGGGUCAUUGGAAACUGGGGAACUUGAGUGCAGGAGAGGAAAGUGGAAUUCCACGUGUAGCGGUGAAAUGCGUAGAUAUGUGGAGGAACACCAGUGGCGAAGGCGACUUUCUGGCCUGUAACUGACACUAAGGCGCGAAAGCGUGGGGAGCAAACAGGAUUAGAUACCCUGGUAGUCCACGCCGUAAACGAUGAGUGCUAAGUGUUGGGGGGUUUCCGCCCCUCAGUGCUGCAGCUAACGCAUUAAGCACUCCGCCUGGGGAGUACGGUCGCAAGACUG
rnacentral:rRNA from 1 species